GGUGGCUCAGCGGUAGAGUGCUUGCCUUGCAUGCAUAAGACCCUGGGUUCGAUUCCUCAGCACCA
rnacentral:tRNA from 1 species